GGGGACCCGCAAGUAGCGGAGCAUGUGGUUUAAUUCGAAGCAACGCGAAGAACCUUACCUAAGCUUGACAUCCCAUUGACCUCUCCCUAAUCGGAGAUUUCCCUUCGGGGACAGUGGUGACAGGUGGUGCAUGGUUGUCGUCAGCUCGUGUCGUGAGAUGUUGGGUUAAGUCCCGCAACGAGCGCAACCCUUGCCUUUAGUUGCCAGCAUUAAGUUGGGCACUCUAGAGGGACUGCCGAGGAUAACUCGGAGGAAGGUGGGGAUGACGUCAAAUCAUCAUGCCCCUUAUGCUUAGGGCUACACACGUGCUACAAUGGGUGGUACAGAGGGUUGCCAAACCGUGAGGUGGAGCUAAUCCCUUAAAGCCAUUCUCAGUUCGGAUUGUAGGCUGAAACUCGCCUACAUGAAGCUGGAGUUACUAGUAAUCGCAGAUCAGAAUGCUGCGGUGAAUGCGUUCCCGGGGUCUUGUACACACC
rnacentral:rRNA from 1 species